UUGAACGCUGGCGGCAGGCCUAACACAUGCAAGUCGAACGGUAACAGGAAGAAGCUUGCUUCUUUGCUGACGAGUGGCGGACGGGUGAGUAAUGUCUGGGAAACUGCCUGAUGGAGGGGGAUAACUACUGGAAACGGUAGCUAAUACCGCAUAACGUCACAAGACCAAAGAGGGGGACCUUCGGGCCUCUUGCCAUCGGAUGUGCCCAGAUGGGAUUAGCUAGUAGGUGGGGUAACGGCUCACCUAGGCGACGAUCCCUAGCUGGUCUGAGAGGAUGACCAGCCACACUGGAACUGAGACACGGUCCAGACUCCUACGGGAGGCAGCAGUGGGGAAUAUUGCACAAUGGGCGCAAGCCUGAUGCAGCCAUGCCGCGUGUAUGAAGAAGGCCUUCGGGUUGUAAAGUACUUUCAGCGGGGAGGAAGGGAGUAAAGUUAAUACCUUUGCUCAUUGACGUUACCCGCAGAAGAAGCACCGGCUAACUCCGUG
rnacentral:rRNA from 1 species